rnacentral:lncRNA from 1 species
UUUUAAAUCAAAGAUUUCAAAGUUACUAUACAAAUGUCAUGUUUCAAAACAACUUCAUGUAUUACAGUUUAAUAGAAAGCAAUCAUUUUAAAUAUAAAGCAUUCUGUUACUUAUCAGAAGAGAGGAACCAAGUUGAUUUUCAUGUAGCAUAGUGCCAUAUUUUGAUAGCUUACUAAAGGCUUAAGUACUGAUGAUGAUGAUAUACAUCUUCUUAGGCAUGAUAUAAUGCAAGCCUAUAGCUCACUACUAGGACUUGGAAAUCUCUCACAGUGCUAAUUUGCUGGUAGGAAAUAGAAUUGUUUUGUAAUUUUGCAAAUGAACCAGCAAUUCCAGCAUUUUAGAACAUUUUGGGUCCUGCCAAGUUCAACCAUAUCUUGAUUAAAGAGUAACCUCAAAUGACCAGUGUCUUUUAAGGAGAUUGGGAUUUUCUUUUUUUAGGAGAAAAAUGACAAAGGAAAAAAAUGUAGAUAGUAUGCAAUAAUGAUGUUAGCAAUUAGAUAUAAAGAGGAACUUCUGGGCUAUGUUGUGGGAGUAAUACACACCUAAACUGAAGUUCUACACUUUCUCCAUCACUAAAUCACGACUUAUUUUCCCACAGUAUAUCCCAAAUUACAAGAGUAAUAUUUUUCCUCUACUACAUUAAGACAAAAUAGACAUAUUAGCUAAUUUCCUACAGGUUUCUAAAAACAACAAAAAAUGUUAACUAUCUUUUGUCUAAAACUCUAAAUUCCACAAAUGUGCCUUGAUAUUCUCAACAUAACAUUAAUUGAGAGUAUUUAAUGUUAAGAAUAGGAAGGAGAAUAUAAAAAUAAGUGUACAUAGUCUCCCAAUGUUCUAAUGGGUUGUUCUAACAUUCUUCUAAUGUUCCAAUGUUCUAAUGGGUUGUUGUUUGGGAAUCUGUAGUGGGAAACGAGACAGAAAACAGGUACAAAGCAUUUAUUAUUGUCCCCGAGAUGUGCUCAAUUCAUUACAAAUACUGAUAAAGCCAUAUAAUGUUAAUAAAUUACUUUAAUGAUAUCUUUUCAGUUAAAAUAUAAUUUCAACUUAUGAAAAUGACAGAAACAAUUUAAUAUUGUUUUCAUUUAAAACAUCACUGGUAGUUUCAUAACAAAAACAUUGGCUUUUUUUAUUUUUAAAGAAUUAUUGGCUCUUGGAAAAUGUUCUUGAAUUAAAUUGAAGAGGCUGAGCUGACUAAAAUGAACAUGAUUUGUUUAUGAAAAUAAAAGGUUUUUUAAAAAAACAUGUUUAUUAUCAUCACUAAAAACAUUACAUUUUGCAAAGGAAGCAAGAAGUCUGGAUUUACUUAUAGAGCCUGGAUGUAAGAGCUACAAUCAGGGGUCCUGUAGACUUAUUCUUAGCUUCUAGUUAUUUUAGCUCUUUGUUUCCAGCUCUCCACUGAGAUAAAAGAAAUUUCUACCAGCCAUCAGAGCCUAAUUGUCAUAGAGCUGAGGAGCAGGCAGUUGUGUCCCGAGGAAGUGACCUGUUAUUGUGUAAGACUGCCUUGCAGAGACUUUUAAAGAACAUUAACAGGGAUUUUAAAAGACCCUUUUAUAUAACUUGUAAAUUAUCUUUAAGAUGCUUAUGAUUAGAUCAGUAAUUAUCAAACUGUUUGGAUCAUGUCUUCCUGCCUGUAGGAUAAUUUUGAGCAUAUACACCCAACAUAUGUAUAUUUUUGAGUUUAUAAAUUAUAUUCAUGCACUAUUAAACUAUCAUUAUUAAUGUUCUGCACAAACAAUAUAAUUUUAAACUGUGACAAACAUGGAAAGGAGAAUUGUUUUUUUUCUCCACACCUUAAUGAAUUGAGGAUGAUACAAAGUACAGGUUGGAAAGCUGAUGUAGACUGCAGUUUAGUGAUACUAUUUGUCUGAGCUUUCCUUUUGAAGGUUGAGAGCACAUUCCUGUGUUUUAUUGCCUCACAGAGGCUGAAGGAGACCAUGCAACUACUAAAAUGCUUGUCAAUGUCAGUGCUUGUGAAAAGCACACUAAAUGAUAGGUAAAACCUAUCAAAUGCAUUGUUUAUUGCAAAUCUUGUGCCUUGAUAUUCUUAAGUUACCAUUAAUUGAGAAUAUUUAAUGUUAAGAAUAGGAAGGAGAAUUUAAAAUAAGUCUACAUAUUAACGGCGCAAUGUGGAGUUCUUAGAAGAACCCAGGGUAGUAACAACUACUUGCUGAAAGAUCAAACUUCUAGUACCAGAGAAUUAUUAAUUAAAAGCUACUGAAGUAUCUACACAGAGCACCAUAUGAGGCAAAGUAUGAACAUCGAAGAGUUUAAGAAGAAAUUAAACUUCUAUUUAGUGAAAGGAAAGGUCUGAAAAGGAAGGAACUCCUUGAGGGACAAAGAAUUCAGACAAUUUUUUCCCUCACUAAGGAUAAAGUAGGGAAAAGAGUUAAUUAAAACUGAGAAACCAUUUUUGGUGGGAUAUUUCAUAAAUGCCUAUUAGGAAUAUAGAAUAACAGUAAAAGACAGUAAGAAAGGAAGACAUUGUAUGAUGGCACAUAGAGACUGGAAUAUAUGUUUUCCCCUUCUAUCUGGCCAACUUCUUCAUAAUGUCUGGUGAGAUACAUGUACCUUGAGAGCCUUCACUUCUCCCCCUCCAAAUUACCUUUAACAAGUUAGGUGCCCUCCCUCUGUGGUCCUAUCCCUUCUGACACCCUCUGUGUGAGGCUUAUUUCAGCAAUUGACAUGGUGAGUGUAAUUCUUUGUUUUCUUCUACAUCCUGAAAUUCAGGAAGUCAGGGACUAUAUUUUGUUCAUCUCAUUUCCAGCAUUUAAUGAAAGACCUGCCCUAUAGUAUCGAUUCAACACACGUUUAAGGAAUAAAUUUGUUAACUUGAUGAGAAAAAAUAAAUAUUUCUCAAUUUGUAGAGUUCUAAUGUAUUCAUGAGGAUCGAAGAGACAAUACUGUAAAAGUGGCUUGAGAACUGCUAAAUUUUAGAUCAUGUUAGUUAUUUAGAAACUUAGUCUGAAACUAUGUCACUUGAAACUCUUGAAAUUCAGAAAUUUUUUUAUUAGGAAUGUCACAUAGGGACACAAGUCAAAAAUAAUUUACCCUAAGAAUGCUGGGAAUAUAUGCUGAGAAGGGCACUCACCCUUUUUUAGAACUAGAAUAAAAAACUCCUUUUAGAAAAAUUUGCAUGCAGGAUAGAAUUUAACCUAAAAAAUUUCUGCAAACAAGAAAACCCAUGAUAGAGAUAAUAACAGUACUUGACAAGGUAGUUUUACACAUUUUAGACCAUGCUGAGUCUAUGGGACUUAUCUUCAGGGAAAAAAGAAGAGAAAAUUAUUUUUAAAAGUCAAUAAUGUGAUGCUUGAAAGUUAGCAAUGGAUUUACUGUUUCUUACUACCUUAAAAAUAUGCAAAUCUAGAUUUUAAUACAGAGAGUCUUUGCAAAAUGACCCAUCACCACUUUUUUCUUUGCUGACUAGCAUUAUUUAGUUUAUUUGCUUUUAUUCCACUGUUAUUUAUGUAAAAGAUUUAUAAAUCUUUCAAUAAUGAUAUUCAAUUAAGUAAUUAGAUUUGCCAAGGGGGACAUGGCUAAUCAUAUGCCCAAGUUUCUGCUAUCAUCAAGUUCUGGACAUGUUGGGAAAGGGGAGGUGUGUGUGUGUCCAUGUAUAUGUUUGUGUGUGCUCUGUGUGUCAGAGAGAGAUAAAAAUGAAAAUUAAAAUGGAGCAACGGUUUCCAUUACAUUUUAAAAACUUGUUUUAGAGCACUACGUUCCUUAUGACAAACAAAAGGAAUCCACAGAAACUUGGUAAAAGAAGCAGAGAAGACACUACUCCAUAUGUGUAAAAUGUGGGUAUGUACAUGAAAUCAAAGAGGUGGAGAAGCAGCCUAUUAGUGGAUUGGAUUUUCCCAAUCUAUUGCCAGGCAUGGCAGCGUCCAUAGGCGAGAAAACAGGAGCCUCGUUACCUUCUUUGACUAAGCUGUCGGUGAAGAGACUGGUGAGGAUGGUGGCGGGCAGGGUG